UUCCUGUAGCUGAGGGAGAAAUCUGUGGGUGGGUCUGAUCCGGCCACGGAUGCUGUGCAGGGGAAGAGGAAGUCCCAUCCUCCCCAGCCCAGCCAGAACAAGCAGCUGAGCUCAGCGCACGGUAGGGAGCCUGCAGCCAGGUCUUCCUCA